UACGAAGGGUGCAAGCGUUGCUCGGAAUUAUUUGGGCGUAAAGGGUUGGUAGGUGGUUACGUAUGUCUGGGGUGAAAUCCCUGAGCUCAACUCAGGAAGUGCCUUGGAAACGGCGUAACUAGAGUGCUAGAGAGGUUCGUGGAAUUCCCAGUGUAGCGGUGAAAUGCGUAGAUAUCGGGAGGAACAUCAGUGGCGAAGGCGGCUACCUGGCCCAAUACUGACACUCAGGUGCGACAGCGUGGGGAGCAAACAGG
rnacentral:rRNA from 1 species